rnacentral:lncRNA from 1 species
AAGACUGGAGGAAGAGCUGGUCUGGUUGGAAAGUAAGGAGAGGACAGUUUUGCAUUAGGUUGCUGAUUUGUGAUCACAGUGAGACAACCAGCCAAAGAUCUCUAGCAGGCAAAUUUAAAAGCCUAAGUUCCAUGCUAUAAUCAGAAAUAUGUGGCACAUUUUGAACAAAGGAAAUAUAUACCCAACAAAGUGUUAAAACGGAGCUGCCAACCAGACAAACCCUAGAAAUAUGUAGCCACUUACAGGCAGAACACAACUACAUGUGUUCCCAAUGUGGAAGGCAUUCCGGAAGUGUAUGCAUCCACAUUUCUACAUGAGGCAUCGCCUAUGCAGGCAAUCAAAGGAUGUUAAUGGAUAAAUGUUUCAGGCAGAAUAAUGGCCCUCAAAGAUGUUGACACCAGAAUCUUCAGAACCUGUGCAUAUGUUACCUAACAUGACAAAAGGGACUUUGCUGAUGUGAUUAAGGUCAAGAACUUUGAGAAGGGAAGAUUAUCCUGGAUUAUACAGGUCAACGUUUAUUUCUUUCUGAACUUUCCUGGAGGAUCAUCUGCCAUACUCCAGCAGAAAGAUGGAUUUGAAAAAAUAACGUUUCCACGGCAACAGUGGCAGCAAUUUAGUGAGUUGCUUUUCCAUUCUUCCUUCAAGACUUUCAGCCUGUAGAAUUGUUUCAGAAAAAGAAAAGCUGCUCUUCCUUUAAAAAAUAAUAUAUGCAUUUAGAUUCAUUCUGAUGAGACAGUUAUGAUUCUAGGAAUAUUCCCAGGAU